AUUGAACGCUGGCGGCAUGCCUUACACAUGCAAGUCGAACGGCAGCGGACCUUCGGGUGCCGGCGAGUGGCGAACGGGUGAGUAAAGUAUCGGAACGUACCUUUCAGUGGGGGAUAACGUAGCGAAAGUUACGCUAAUACCGCAUAUUCUGUGAGCAGGAAAGCAGGGGAUCGCAAGACCUUGCGCUGAUUGAGCGGCCGAUAUCAGAUUAGCUAGUUGGUGAGGUAAAGGCUCACCAAGGCGACGAUCUGUAGCGGGUCUGAGAGGAUGAUCCGCCACACUGGAACUGAGACACGGUCCAGACUCCUACGGGAGGCAGCAGUGGGGAAUUUUGGACAAUGGGGGCAACCCUGAUCCAGCCAUGCCGCGUGAGUGAAGAAGGCCUUCGGGUUGUAAAGCUCUUUCGGCCGGGAAGAAAUCGCGCAGGCUAAUACCCUGUGUGGAUGACGGUACCGGAAUAAGAAGCACCGGCUAACUACGUGCCAGCAGCCGCAGUAACAC
rnacentral:rRNA from 1 species